rnacentral:rRNA from 1 species
UACGUAGGGUGCAAGCGUUAAUCGGAAUUACUGGGCGUAAAGCGUGCGCAGGCGGUUUUGUAAGUCUGUCGUGAAAUCCCCGGGCUUAACCUGGGAAUUGCGAUGGAGACUGCAAGGCUGGAGUUUGGCAGAGGGGGGUAGAAUUCCACGUGUAGCAGUGAAAUGCGUAGAGAUGUGGAGGAACACCGAUGGCGAAGGCAGCCCCCUGGGUCAAAACUGACGCUCAUGCACGAAAGCGUGGGGAGCAAACAGG